AGAGUUUGAUCCUGGCUCAGGACGAACGCUGGCGGCGUGCUUAACACAUGCAAGUCGAGCGGAAAGGCCACUUCGGUGGUACUCGAGCGGCGAACGGGUGAGUAACACGUGAGUAAUCUGCCCCUGACUUUGGGAUAGCCACCGGAAACGGUGAUUAAUACCGGAUAUGACAUUGACUCGCAUGGGUUGGUGUGGAAAGUUUUUCGGUCAGGGAUGUGCUCGCGGCCUAUCAGCUUGAUGGUGAGGUAAUGGCUCACCAUGGCUUCGACGGGUAGCCGGCCUGAGAGGGUGACCGGUCACACUGGGACUGAGACACGGCCCAGACUCCUACGGGAGGCAGCAGUGGGGAAUAUUGGACAAUGGGCGGAAGCCUGAUCCAGCAACGCCGCGUGAGGGAUGACGGCCUUCGGGUUGUAAACCUCUUUCGGUGGGGACGAAGCGCAAGUGACGGUACCCACUAAAGAAGCACCGGCCAACUACGUGCCAGCAGCCGCGGUAAUACGUAGGGUGCGAGCGUUGUCCGGAAUUAUUGGGCGUAAAGGGCUCGUAGGCGGUUUGUCGCGUCGGGAGUGAAAACGCCGUGCUUAACACGGCGCUUGCUUUCGAUACGGGCAGACUAGAGGUAUGCAGGGGAGAACGGAAUUCCUGGUGUAGCGGUGAAAUGCGCAGAUAUCAGGAGGAACACCGGUGGCGAAGGCGGUUCUCUGGGCAUUACCUGACGCUGAGGAGCGAAAGUGUGGGGAGCGAACAGGAUUAGAUACCCUGGUAGUCCACACCGUAAACGUUGGGCGCUAGGUGUGGGGUCCAUUCCACGGAUUCCGUGCCGCAGCUAACGCAUUAAGCGCCCCGCCUGGGGAGUACGGCCGCAAGGCUAAAACUCAAAGGAAUUGACGG
rnacentral:rRNA from 1 species